CGAAGGGGGACAGCGGAGGGAUCAUUACCGAGUUAUACAACUCAUCAACCCUGUGAACAUACCUAAAACGUUGCUUCGGCGGGAACAGGACGGCCCCGUAACACGGGCCGCCCCCGCCGAGAGGACCCCCUAACUCUGUUUCUAUUAUGUUUCUUCUGAGUAAAACAAGCAAAUAAAUUAAAACUUUCAACAACGGAUCUCUUGGCUCUGGCAUCGAUGAAGAACGCAGCGAAAUGCGAUAAGUAAUGUGAAUUGCAGAAUUCAGUGAAUCAUCGAAUCUUUGAACGCACAUUGCGCCCGCCAGUAUUCUGGCGGGCAUGCCUGUUCGAGCGUCAUUACAACCCUCAGGCCCCCGGGCCUGGCGUUGGGGAUCGGCGAGGCGCCCCCUGCGGGCACACGCCCGUUCCCCCAAAUACAGUGGCGGUCCCGCCGCAGCUUCCAUUGCGUAGUAGCUAACACCUCGCAACUGGAGAGCGGCGCGGCCACGCCGUAAAACACCCAACUUCUGAAUGUUGACCUCGAAUCAGGUAGGAAUACCCGCUGAACUUAAGCAUAUCAAUAAGCGGAGGAAAAGAAACCAACAGGGAUUGCCCCAGUAACGGCGAGUGAAGCGGCAACAGCUCAAAUUUGAAAUCUGGCUCUCGGGCCCGAGUUGUAAUUUGUAGAGGAUGCUUUUGGUGAGGUGCCUUCCGAGUUCCCUGGAACGGGACGCCAUAGAGGGUGAGAGCCCCGUCUGGUUGGACACCGAUCCUCUGUAAAGCUCCUUCGACGAGUCGAGUAGUUUGGGAAUGCUGCUCUAAAUGGGAGGUAUAUGUCUUCUAAAGCUAAAUACCGGCCAGAGACCGAUAGCGCACAAGUAGAGUGAUCGAAAGAUGAAAAGAACUUUGAAAAGAGAGUUAAACAGUACGUGAAAUUGUUGAAAGGGAAGCGCUUGUGACCAGACUUGGGCUUGGUUGAUCAUCCGGGGUUCUCCCCGGUGCACUCUUCCGGCCCAGGCCAGCAUCAGUUCGCCCUGGGGGACAAAGGCUUCGGGAAUGUGGCUCUCUCCGGGGAGUGUUAUAGCCCGUUGGCGUAAUACCCUGUGGCGGACUGAGGUUCGCGCAUCGCAAGGAUGCGGGCA
rnacentral:rRNA from 1 species